rnacentral:tRNA from 1 species
GGUAAAAUGGCUGAGUAAAGGUGAUAGACUGUAAAUCUAUUUAGGAGGGUCAACCCCUCUUUUACCA